rnacentral:misc_RNA from 1 species
AAGUCGUUGUUAACAAGGUUUCCGUAGGUGAACCUGCGGAAGGAUCAUUAACACCUAUCCAACGUUAAACCCCCGUGAACCUUCAUUCGACAGCUCCUCUGGCUAAGACCUAGAUGAACCAAGGCAGCAAUCCCUGCACUCCGUCGCGAGAAAUUGGAAGGAGGAGGGACUUCUGUUGCGUGUGGCACCGGAGUUUCAGAGCGCGCUAUGUGACUUGUGAGUAUCGUCCGGCCAGCUUGCAGUGCAUUGACACUGUCGUGAUUGCGACUGGGGGCUCCCGCUUUACGGUCACUGGAGGUCGAUCACCGACCGGUGAGACAAGUCACAGGGGCUUCGGCUCCCCUUUUAACCCCAUUUUCUAUUGCCGCUCCGCGCUAACAACGCCGGGCAAACUAAAACGUACUUAAACAACUGUUAACAAUGGAUAUCUUGGUUCUC